rnacentral:rRNA from 1 species
UACAGAGGUGGCAAGCGUUGUUCGGAAUUACUGGGCGUAAAGGGCUCGUAGGCGGCCAACUAAGUCACACGUGAAAUCCCCAGGCUUAACCUGGGAACUGCGUGUGAUACUGGAUGGCUUGAAUUCGGGAGAGGGAUGCAGAAUUCCAGGUGUAGCGGUGAAAUGCGUAGAUAUCUGGAGGAAUACCGGUGGCGAAGGCGGCAUCCUGGACCGACAUUGACGCUGAACGGCGAAAGCUAGGGGAGCAAACGGG